rnacentral:misc_RNA from 1 species
UAAUAAGUGUUUAUGGCACUUCUUAAAUCCAUAUCCACCUUGUGUGCAAUGUCAGCCGUUUUCUUCAUGGAAACGGCCAAACAUCAACUUAUUUUAACUGUUUGUCUGAAAACUAUUAUGAAUAAACAAUUCAAAAUA